UUAUUUUAUUCUGCCUUUACGUCAACAAUGGCCAGUGAAAACAACUUGGGAGUAAUAAUGAAGAUGGUCAGCGAGCCGAAAGUGUUCCCAGCAAAGCAGCCCUCUGAUCCAUAUACUUCAGCUACAUCUUACAUCACCAAGUUUUUUGCAAACGACAAGACAUGCACCAAAUGCAACAUAAACACAAAUAACCAAGCAGAUGGAGUUUAUGAGAAAAGAGAAGAAUGAUCCUGAGAGGAAAAUAAAGAUACUCAAGAGAAUGUGUGAGGCAUAUUAUGACUUAGUAGUAUAGAAGAACAAAAACUAGCAAAGCACACUGAAGGUAAUUUUAAAAUGU
rnacentral:lncRNA from 1 species